CCAGUUUCAGGUGUAACAGGUAUAUUAUGAAAUAUAUUUAAUUUGUUAGAAUUGAAAUUAUUUAAAAAAUUUAAUUUUACUUACCUUAAAUUUUCAAAAUUCUCUAGAGUCAAGGCCUACUUAACUAUUGUGCCUACACAACACACAUACUUUCCUAGGACGUAAGAGUAAAAAAAAGGCCCUAUUUUUUAUUCGUUUUUUCCUACAAGACUUUUAAAUACAGUACGCAGGGCCCCACAAAUUUCAAAUGAGUAAAGACUCUUGAUUCUAGGUGUUGUUGCUAGACUGGAAACACGCUUAGUAUUUACAAAAUAGAGCAGUUGAUAACCAUCCAAAAUAAGCAGAAAAAAAAGAAAAGGAUUUUUAAAGAAUGUUUCAUUGUCUACUCAUACGUGAAGUGGUUAACAAUAAUAGAAGGCCAAUUCGAUGAAAAACAAAAUGUUUAAAGGACAUCAAAGUCAUGACUUGCACCAUUAACUAUAAAGAUUAUAUCAAUGAUUUUUAGAUAUUUUUCUUCUUUUUUUUUCAAAUAUAUUUCAUUUUAAAUACGUUAUAUAAACACGCAUUGGUCUCUUUAAUAUUCUAUAUAACACAUGUUAAAGGGAAAAAAAACAAUAAAAUGCAUAAUAUUGAGUUGUAAAUUUACUUUUUAUACAGAUUUCCUAGUUAGAUAUAAUUAUAUAAUUAUUAGAUACAUUCGAACCUCCAAUAAUGGACACCUUUUAUAUUCGCUUCAAGAGGCUGUAUAAUGAGAUCCUUUCUUUGUAGAAGAGAAAGCCAGUAAAAUAAAUAGAAUUAUAAUAAUAAGAACGAAUACAAAGUAAAGGAAUUUAUAUAUUAUCAUGUGAAAGAUUCAUAUAAAUCAUUCGAUAUAAGAUAAACAUUUUAAUACAAAAGAUUUGUUGGUACUUGAUGCUAUCUAGGACAUCAACACUCACGAUGGUACAUCCACCCAUAUUCGAUUGUUAUUCAGAAGAGCUUAUGUUGACAGCUUAUUUCUUAUCAAGUAAUUUGUGAACUUCCUGGCUGUUUAGAUAACGUGUUAAAGUAUUAUACACUUUAACAAAAAUUUAAAAAAAAACUAUAAUAAUACUUCCUGAAAUUUUAUCAUCAUGUGUUAAAAAAGUUUAUAUAUUAAUAAAUGAUGUGAUGUUAAUACAAUAAAAGGAAGAGCAAUAAGGUCAUUCAUGAGAAAGUACAUUAAAUGUCUUCCUAGUAUAAAGAAUGAGGUCAAAAAUAAAGUUAAAUUUUUUUUUUUUUUUUUGAAUAGAAUAACCACUCGCAUUGAAUAUUGUUGUUUUCAUGAAUAAAGUUUGAAUAUUUAGAAUAA